GACGAACGCUGGCGGCGUGCUUAACACAUGCAAGUCGAACGGAAAGGCCCUGCUUUUGUGGGGUGCUCGAGUGGCGAACGGGUGAGUAACACGUGAGUAACCUGCCCUUGACUUUGGGAUAACUUCAGGAAACUGGGGCUAAUACCGGAUAGGAACUCCUGCUGCAUGGUAGGGGUUGGAAAGUUUCGGCGGGUGGGGAUGGGCUCGCGGCUUAUCGGCUUGUUGGUUGGGUAGUGGCUUACCAAGGCUUUGACGGGUAGCCGGCCUGAGAGGGUGACCGGCGACCAUGGGCCUGAGGUAGGGCGCAGUGGGGUACAGUAGGCAGUAGUGGGAAGUAUUGCACAAUCGGCCGGAGUCUGAUACAGAAACGCUGCGGGCGGGAUGACGGCCUUUGGGUUGUAAACAGCUUUCGCCUGUGACGAAGCGUGAGUGACGGUAAUGAAUAAAGAAGCACCGGCUAACUACGUG
rnacentral:rRNA from 1 species